GACGAACGCUGGCGGCGUGCUUAACACUUGCAAGUCGAGCGGUAAGGCCCUUCGGGGUACACGAGUGGCGAACGGGUGAGUAACACGUGGGUGAUCUGCCCUGCACUUCGGGAUAAGCCUGGGAAACUGGGUCUAAUACCGGAUAAGCCCUUAUGGGGAAAGGUUUACUGCCGAAGGAUCGGCCCGCGUCUGAUUAGCUAGUUGGGGAGGUAAUGGCUCACCAAGGCGACGAUCGGUAGCUGGUCUGAGAGGACGAUCAGCCACACUGGGACUGAGACACGGCCCAGACUCCUACGGGAGGCAGCAGUGGGGAAUCUUGCGCAAUGGGCGAAAGCCUGACGCAGCGACGCCGCGUACGGGAAGAAGGCCUUCGGGUUGUAAACCGUUUUCAGGAGGGACGAAGCCACUCGGGUUAACAGCCCAGAGGGUGACGGUACCUCCAGAAGAAGCCCCGGCUAAC
rnacentral:rRNA from 1 species